rnacentral:rRNA from 1 species
CAUGGCUCAGAUUGAACGCUGGCGGCAGGCCUAACACAUGCAAGUCGAGCGGAUGAGAGGAGCUUGCUCCUUAAUUCAGCGGCGGACGGGUGAGUAAUGCCUAGGAAUCUGCCUGGUAGUGGGGGACAACGUUUCGAAAGGAACGCUAAUACCGCAUACGUCCUACGGGAGAAAGCAGGGGACCUUCGGGCCUUGCGCUAUCAGAUGAGCCUAGGUCGGAUUAGCUAGUUGGUGAGGUAAUGGCUCACCAAGGCGACGAUCCGUAACUGGUCUGAGAGGAUGAUCAGUCACACUGGAACUGAGACACGGUCCAGACUCCUACGGGAGGCAGCAGUGGGGAAUAUUGGACAAUGGGCGAAAGCCUGAUCCAGCCAUGCCGCGUGUGUGAAGAAGGUCUUCGGAUUGUAAAGCACUUUAAGUUGGGAGGAAGGGCAGUAAAUUAAUACUUUGCUGUUUUGACGUUACCGACAGAAUAAGCACCGGCUAACU